GCUGAGCACGUGGUGCGUGUCUGUGGUCCCAGCUACGCGGGAGGCUGAGGCUGGAGGAUCGCUUGAGCCCAGGAGUUCUGGGCUGUAGUGCGCUAUGCCAUCGGGUGUCCGCACUAAGUUCGGCAUCAAUAUGGUGACCUCCUGGGAGCGGGGGACCACCAGGUUGUCUAAGGAGGGGUGAACCGGCCCAGGUCGGAAACGGAGCAGGUCAAAACUCCCGUGCUGAUCAGUAGUGGGAUCGCUCCUAUGAACAGCCACUGCACUCCAGCCUGGGCAACAGAGCGAGACCUCGCCUCU
rnacentral:SRP_RNA from 1 species